ACUUAAAUUGAAGAGUUUGAUCAUGGCUCAGAUUGAACGCUGGCGGCAGGCCUAACACAUGCAAGUCGAGCGGUAGCACAGAGAGCUUGCUCUCGGGUGACGAGCGGCGGACGGGUGAGUAAUGUCUGGGAAACUGCCUGAUGGAGGGGGAUAACUACUGGAAACGGUAGCUAAUACCGCAUAAUGUCGCAAGACCAAAGUGGGGGACCUUCGGGCCUCAUGCCAUCAGAUGUGCC
rnacentral:rRNA from 1 species